GAGCUUGCUCUCGGGUGACGAGCGGCGGACGGGUGAGUAAUGUCUGGGAAACUGCCUGAUGGAGGGGGAUAACUACUGGAAACGGUAGCUAAUACCGCAUAACGUCGCAAGACCAAAGUGGGGGACCUUCGGGCCUCAUGCCAUCAGAUGUGCCCAGAUGGGAUUAGCUGGUAGGUGGGGUAACGGCUCACCUAGGCGACGAUCCCUAGCUGGUCUGAGAGGAUGACCAGCCACACUGGAACUGAGACACGGUCCAGACUCCUACGGGAGGCAGCAGUGGGGAAUAUUGCACAAUGGGCGCAAGCCUGAUGCAGCCAUGCCGCGUGUGUGAAGAAGGCCUUCGGGUUGUAAAGCACUUUCAGCGGGGAGGAAGGCGGUGAGGUUAAUAACCUCAUCGAUUGACGUUACCCGCAGAAGAAGCACCGGCUAACUCCGUGCCAGCAGCCGCGGUAAUACGGAGGGUGCAAGCGUUAAUCGGAAUUACUGGGCGUAAAGCGCACGCAGGCGGUCUGUCAAGUCGGAUGUGAAAUCCCCGGGCUCAACCUGGGAACUGCAUUCGAAACUGGCAGGCUAGAGUCUUGUAGAGGGGGGUAGAAUUCCAGGUGUAGCGGUGAAAUGCGUAGAGAUCUGGAGGAAUACCGGUGGCGAAGGCGGCCCCCUGGACAAAGACUGACGCUCAGGUGCGAAAGCGUGGGGGAGCAAACAGGAUUAGAUACCCUGGUAGUCCACGCUGUAAACGAUGUCGAUUUGGAGGUUGUGCCCUUGAGGCGUGGCUUCCGGAGCUAACGCGUUAAAUCGACCGCCUGGGGAGUACGGCCGCAAGGUUAAAACUCAAAUG
rnacentral:rRNA from 1 species